rnacentral:sRNA from 1 species
GCCAGGUGCAGUGGCGCACGCCUGUAAUCCCAGCGACUUUGGAGGCUGAGGCAGGAGGACUGCAAAUUCAAAGCCAGCCUCAGCAAUGGUGAGGCACUAAGCAACUCAGUGAGAUCCUGUCUCUA